UACGUAGGGGGCGAGCGUUGUCCGGAAUUACUGGGCGUAAAGCGCGCGUAGGUGGCUGUCUAAGACCGGUGUGAAAUCUCCGCGCUUACCGUGGAGGGGUCGCUGGUGACUGGACGGCUUGGGUUCGGCAGAGGUGAGUGGAAUUCCCGGUGGAGCGGUGAAAUGCGUAGAGAUCGGGAGGAACACCAGUGGCGAAGGCGGCUCACUGGGCCGGGACCGACGCUGAGGCGCGAAAGCGUGGGGAGCGAAC
rnacentral:rRNA from 1 species